AUGGAAACUAGAAGAACACGCUUUUAUAAAGCUAUCUUUUUUAGCAUGCAAUCUAGCGGUUCUUUCCUUGCACUCAUCAAUGGAAAUUCUCAUUACUUUGAGAGACUCAUUGAUAUCAUGCUUAGGAGGAGAAGAUCUAAGUUUAAGAGAAUCAACAUCAAGCGAAAGUCUAUCAACGUUCCUAGCCAAACCAUCAACUUUGAGCAAUUUUUGUUCAAGCAAAGCAUUAAAAUUCUUUUGAGAAAUCAUAAAUUCUUUCACACUAUUCUCAAAAUCAGAGGGCAUCUUAUUAAAAUUACCAUAAGAAUUAUUGUAGGAAUUUCCAUAAUUAUUAGAGGAAUUACUAGGGAACGGUCUACAUUAAAGUUUCAUCUAUAA
rnacentral:rRNA from 1 species